rnacentral:misc_RNA from 1 species
GAAAUGCGAUAAUUAAUGUGAAUUGCAGAAUUCAGUGAAUCAUCGAGUCUUUGAACGCACAUUGCGCCCCCUGGUAUUCCGGGGGGCAUGCAUGUCCGAGCGUCAUUGCUGCCCUCAAGCACGGCUUGUGUGUUGGGCUUCCGUCCCUGGCAACGGGGACGGGCCCAAAAGGCAGUGGCGGCACCAUGUCUGGUCCUCGAGCGUAUGGGGCUUUGUCACCCGCUCCCGUAGGUCCAGCUGGCAGCUAGCCUCGCAACCAAUCUUUUUAACCAGGUUGACCUCGGAUCAGGUAGGGAUACCCGCUGAACUUAAGC